AAAACAAAUAUGUAUUGCUUAAGCCACCUUCUAAUUUGCCAUUCUGUCCCUGGGCAAUUAAGAUCCUAUUCCAAGCAGUUUAAUUCUUCUAGUGAAGUAGGUGAUUAAUUCGCUCAACUGAAGGAGCUCGGAGUGUAACACUUGAAGAUAUGAAAUGCGCUGAAGGUCUUAGGAAGAAACACAGUCAAUAAAAUGUAUCCCAGUACUUAAAAUUCAGGCAUAAUUAAAAGGAAUUAAAAUUAUAUUUCAUGUUUAAUUUAA